rnacentral:lncRNA from 1 species
CAAGGAGUUGAACAGACACUUUUCAGAAGAUGAUAUACAAUCAACAAAUAUUUUUUAAAUGUUCAACAUCUCUAGAAAUUAGAGAAAUGCAAAUCAAAACUACUCUAAGAUUUUAUCUCACUCCAGUCAGAAUGGCAGCUAUUAAGAAUAUAAACAACAACAAAUGUUGGCGAGGAUGUGGGGCAAAGGGCACACUCUUACACUGCUGGUGGGACUGCAAAUUGGUGCAACUAAUCUGGAAAGCAGCAUAGAGAAUCUUUGGGAAACUGGAAAUGGAACCACCAUUUGACCAGCUAUCCCACUUCUUGGUCUAUACCCAAAGGACUUAAAACCAGCAUGCUACAGGGACACAGCCACAUCAAUGUUUACGGCAGCACAAUUCACAAUAAAUAAACUGUGGGAGCAACUUAGAUGCCCUUCAGUAGAUGAAUGGAUAAAGAAAAUGUGGUAUAUUCACACAAUGGAAUACUAUUCAGCAUUAAAACAGAAUAAAAUCAUGGCAUUUGCAGGUAAAUGGAUGGAAUUGGAAAAUAUAAUGCUAAGUGAAGUUAGCUAAUCCCCAAAAAACAAAUGCUGAAUGUUUUCUCUGAUAUAAGGAUGCUGAUUCAUAAUGGAGUUGGUGGAUGCAUGGCAGGAUCAGACGAACUCUAGAUAGCACAAAGGGGAGGCAGGGGAAGAGAGGGGGUAUGUGGGUAGGAAAGAUGGUGAAAUGAAAUGGGUAUCAUUACCCUAAGUACAUGGAUGAAGACAUGAAUGGUGUGACUCUACUUUGUGUGCUACCAGAGAUAUGAAAAAUUGUGUUCUAUGUGUGUAAUAAAAAUUGUGAUGCAUUCUACUGUCAUACAUAUCAAAUUAGAAUAAAAAAGUUUUUUUAAAAUAAAUGCUUGGACCACAUUCUGUCCUUUAGACUUUGAUAAUGUUAAUUCUUAAUAUUAAUUUUUCCAGGUUGCAGAAAAGAACCUGACCUUUUUAAGGAAUGUCAGGAUUCUCCUUCUGCACAUUUUACAAA